rnacentral:SRP_RNA from 1 species
GCCGGGCGUGGUGGCGGACGCCUGUAAUCCCAGCUACUCUGGAGGCUGAGGCAGGAGAAUUGCUUGAGUCUGGGAAACGGAGGUUGCAGUGAGCCAAGAUUGUGCCACUGCACUCCAGCCUGGCCAAUAGAGCAAGAUUCUGUCUCAA